UGCAGUCGAACGGUGAAGCCAAGCUUGCUUGGUGGAUCAGUGGCGAACGGGUGAGUAACACGUGAGCAACCUGCCCCGGACUCUGGGAUAAGCGCUGGAAACGGCGUCUAAUACCGGAUAUGAACCACAGCCGCAUGGUUGGUGGUUGGAAAGAUUUUUUGGUUCGGGAUGGGCUCGCGGCCUAUCAGCUUGUUGGUGAGGUAAUGGCUCACCAAGGCGUCGACGGGUAGCCGGCCUGAGAGGGUGACCGGCCACACUGGGACUGAGACACGGCCCAGACUCCUACGGGAGGCAGCAGUGGGGAAUAUUGCACAAUGGGCGGAAGCCUGAUGCAGCAACGCCGCGUGAGGGAUGACGGCCUUCGGGUUGUAAACCUCUUUUAGCAAGGAAGAAGCGAAAGUGACGGUACUUGCAGAAAAAGCGCCGGCUAACUACGUGCCAGCAGCCGCGGUAAUACGUAGGGCGCAAGCGUUAUCCGGAAUUAUUGGGCGUAAAGAGCUCGUAGGCGGUUUGUCGCGUCUGCUGUGAAAACUGGAGGCUCAACCUCCAGCCUGCAGUGGGUACGGGCAGACUAGAGUGCGGUAGGGGAGAUUGGAAUUCCUGGUGUAGCGGUGGAAUGCGCAGAUAUCAGGAGGAACACCGAUGGCGAAGGCAGAUCUCUGGGCCGUAACUGACGCUGAGGAGCGAAAGGGUGGGGAGCAAACAGGCUUAGAUACCCUGGUAGUCCACCCCGUAAACGUUGGGAACUAGUUGUGGGGGCCAUUCCACGGUCUCCGUGACGCAGCUAACGCAUUAAGUUCCCCGCCUGGGGAGUACGGCCGCAAGGCUAAAACUCAAAGGAAUUGACGGG
rnacentral:rRNA from 1 species